GGGGAAUAUUGCGCAAUGGGGGAAACCCUGACGCAGCGACGCCGCGUGUGGGAAGAAGGCCUUCGGGUCGUAAACCACUGUCAAGAGGGAAGAAACGCAUGGAUUCGAAUAGGGUCUGUGCCUGACGGUACCUCUGGAGGAAGCACCGGCUAACUCCGUGCCAGCAGCCGCGGUAAUACGGAGGGUGCAAGCGUUAAUCGGAAUCACUGGGCGUAAAGCGCACGUAGGCUGUUUUGCAAGUCAGGUGUGAAAUGCCUCGGCUCAACCGAGGAACUGCACUUGAAACUGCAGGACUAGAGUACUGGAGAGGGUGGCGGAAUUCCCGGUGUAGGAGUGAAAUCCGUAGAUAUCGGGAGGAACACCAGUGGCGAAGGCGGCCACCUGGACAGAUACUGACGCUGAGGUGCGAAAGCGUGGGGAGCAAAC
rnacentral:rRNA from 1 species